rfam:Nicotiana sylvestris Nsyl_contig73172, whole genome shotgun sequence.
AUGUCAUGAUGUGGACAUUUCCUUAACAUUGUUUUCAAUCUUUCCCAAGCUUGAUAAACUGACUCAGUGUCAGUCUGCAAGAAGUUAGAUAUAUCCUAUCUUAACUU